rnacentral:rRNA from 1 species
UACGGAGGGUGCGAGCGUUGUCCGGAAUCACUGGGCGUAAAGGGCGCGUAGGCGGCGCGGGGAGUCAACGGUGAAAGCUCGGCGCUCAACGCCGAGUCGGCCGUCGAUACUCCCGUGCUCGAGCACUGUAGAGGCAGGUGGAAUUCCGGGUGUAGCGGUGAAAUGCGUAGAGAUCCGGAAGAACACCGGAGGCGAAGGCGGCUUGCUGGGCGUAGUCUGACGCUGAGGCGCGAAAGCGUGGGGAGCGAACAGG